UCCCUCAGUAAUGGCGAAUGAACAGGGACAUGCUCAGCAUGAAAAUCGGGGCCUGCGGGCCUGAGUUGUAGUCUCGGGAGAUACUGCCAACAGAGGCGCUGCUGUAUGUCUCUUGGAAAUGAGUAUCAAUGAGGGCGAGGGUCCUGUUUGUCAGUGGCAGCCCACUGUGCACGGUGUACAUUCUAAGAGUCACGUUCCUUGGGAUUGGAGUGCAAUGCGGGUGGUAAGCUUCAUCCAAAGCUACAUAUGGGCUCAAGACCGAUAGCAAACAAGUACCAUGAGGGAAAGGUGAAAAGGACUUUGAAAAGAAAGGUAACAGUGCCUGAAAUCGCUGAAAAGGAAGUGAGCGAAGCCAAUGUGUCUUGGUGAGAUUGCUGCACACAAGUGCCAUUGCUUGCUGCGCCAGCACACGUGUGGCAGUAAGUCUUGCGCAGGUUGCGUGCAGUGCUUUUUGCCUUGCCUGUCAACGUCGCUUCACGCUUGAGGAAGAUUUCAAGGACAUGGUAGCUCCCCCCAAGGGGCGAAUAUCUUCAGUGUACUCAUGCGAGGGGUGA
rnacentral:rRNA from 1 species